AACGCGAAGAACCUUACCAGGUCUUGACAUCCUUUUGCCUUUCCUAGAGAUAGGAAGUUCCCUUCGGGGACAAAAGUGACAGGUGGUGCAUGGUUGUCGUCAGCUCGUGUCGUGAGAUGUUGGGUUAAGUCCCGCAACGAGCGCAACCCUUGAUCUUAGUUGCCAGCAUUCAGUUGGGCACUCUAAGGUGACUGCCGGUGACAAACCGGAGGAAGGUGGGGAUGACGUCAAAUCAUCAUGCCCCUUAUGACCUGGGCUACACACGUGCUACAAUGGAUGGUACAAAGGGCUGCAAAACCGCGAGGUCGAGCCAAUCCCAUAAAACCAUUCUCAGUUCGGAUUGUAGGCUGCAACUCGCCUACAUGAAGCUGGAAUCGCUAGUAAUCGUGGAUCAGCAUGCCACGGUGAAUACGUUCCCGGGCCUUGUA
rnacentral:rRNA from 1 species